rnacentral:rRNA from 1 species
UACGGAGGGGGCUAGCGUUGUUCGGGAUUACUGGGCGUAAAGCGCGCGUAGGCGGGCUGUUAAGUCGGGGGUGAAAUCCCGGGGCUCAACCCCGGAACUGCCUUCGAUACUGGCAGCCUAGAGGAAGGCAGAGGCUAGUGGAAUGGCGAGUGUAGAGGUGAAAUUAGUAGAUAUUCGCCGGAACACCAUUGGCGAAGGCGACUGGCUGGGCCUUUUCUGGCGCUGAGGUGCUAAAGCGUGGGGAGCAAACAGG